rnacentral:sRNA from 1 species
AAAAAAAAAAACCCAGCUUCUUUUUCAGUUGUUAUUUGCUCUGACACAACUACCUCUGUGAAGUUACUGAUUUAUUUAUUCAGUACUCCUUACUGAUGCCUGCUAAGGUACAUUCUGGAUCUCCCCUGAUGAUAAAGUAGUUCUAAUGGGAAGCGAGUCCUGUUAGAAAAAGCACAUGAGCAGAUCGAGUGACUACAGUCAUGAUGCUGAUGAAAAGGUGGCAUGGGAUGAGAGAAUGGAGUAGAAUGGAGGCGGGGUUUGUGGAAGAAGGGGAUUUCAUUCUGGGCAGGUGGGAGUGCCAAUGCCAUAGGUUUGGUAGAUGUAGGCUUAGUAUGUCUGAAGGACUACAGAAAGACGAAUAUGGCUAGUAGAGUGACCAACAUAUCAAUUAACUGUUAAGGCCCUGAAUGAAGAACCUAGUAAAAGCCAGUCAACACCCACUGCUGAGCAGACAGAACAUCCCAAGGCAUAGCUCUCAUUACACUUGUUCUCUGCUCCAAAAGCACCAGUAUCUCCUCAUUGUCCACUGAACAAAAAUCCUCCAUGACACUUUGUAGUUUACAGACAACUCCUUUUCAGUUACUUCUUUUUAUUAUUUGCGCUGAAGACAAAGGCCUGAAAAAUGAUAGUCUAGGAAUCAAAUCUGGCCCAUCACCCAUUUUUUUUUAUAAAUAAAGUUUUAUUGGAACAUACCCUAACAGUUUCUUAUUAUCAAUGACUGCUUUCCUGCUACAAUGGCAGAGUUGAGUGGUUGCAACACAGACACAAAAGCCAUUUUUUUUUUAAGGUCACCAAACCUAAAAAAUAAUUUGCUGAACCAAGUUGUUAGCAAACGAAUUUUAGCAAGUUUCUUACUUAUUCCUAACCUUACAUUUGCAAAGCAAUUCCUGAAUUCCACCUUCAUGAUCCUUUCUGUUCCUCUGAUAAUUCCUCUCUGAAGCUGUCCGCACCCUAAUCCUCAGAACCCACGCUCUGUGAUGUCAGAUUCGAGGGAGGAGUCAGGCUGAUAAUCAUAUGAUCUGACAUCGCUAGGACUGCACGUGCUCAAGCUAAUGACCCAGGGCCUUACAGGAGGGGCUGGAAUUAGAAGGCCCAGCUCUGGAAUGAACGCUGUGUAAAAAGCUGCACUUGGCCAGCUGGCUUUGAAGACGGAAAGGCCAGAGGCCAAGCAAUGGCGAGCCCCCUGAGGGAGCAGCAUGACUCAUUUCACCCUGGCAUCGGUUAUGAUGAAAACCACAGGUGCCUUGUCCAGAGCACGACAUCGAGAAAUGGUAACUGAUGAAUGCUUAGUACAUUUGAAAAUUUGAAAUGCACAGUGUCCAAGAAAGCAAUUAGAAAGAAUUAAGGAGAGUAUCUGUUAAAAAUUCACAAUUUGCUAAUAAUGAGGAAUGAAGCUUGGGCGCUCACCGGGGGCAAACACAAAUGAAUCAUGCUAAAAUGUUUUUCCAGUGGGGGUUUUCACAGUAGGACUCAGAGGACAAAAGGAAUGAAAGAUAAGGGCAUUUCAAUUAUUGCCAGAUUAUAAAAGGUUUGUGCCUGCACACGAUGAGAAGACACAGGGUACAUGCAGGACAGAUGAG